rnacentral:rRNA from 1 species
UACAGAGGCCUCAAGCGUUGUUCGGAUUCAUUGGGCGUAAAGGGUGUGUAGGUGGCGCCGUAAGUCGGGUGUGAAAUUUCGGAGCUUAACUCCGAAACUGCAUUCGAUACUGCGGUGCUUGAGGACUGGAGAGGAGACUGGAAUUUACGGUGUAGCAGUGAAAUGCGUAGAUAUCGUAAGGAAGACCAGUGGCGAAGGCGGGUCUCUGGACAGUUCCUGACACUGAGGCACGAAGGCCAGGGGAGCAAACGGG